rnacentral:rRNA from 1 species
UACAGAGGUCUCAAGCGUUGUUCGGAUUCAUUGGGCGUAAAGGGUGCGUAGGUGGCGUCGUAAGUCAGGUGUGAAAUUUCGGAGCUUAACUUCGAAACUGCAUUUGAUACUGCGGUGCUUGAGGACUGGAGAGGAGACUGGAAUUUACGGUGUAGCAGUGAAAUGCGUAGAGAUCGUAAGGAAGACCAGUGGCGAAGGCGGGUCUCUGGACAGUUCCUGACACUGAUGCACGAAAGCUAGGGGAGCAAACAGG